CUCACAGAUCUUAAUUCUGUUGAUCUCAUUAAAAGCAAUCUGAGGUGCUGUUCAGCUUUCAGUUCUGCGCAGCACACUCACCCAGGAAGGAACCAGAGAAACUAAACUGGCAGCAACAAUCUUGAAGCUAGAUCAUAUGUAAGGCACAGAGAAUCUUGCUGCUGUGAGUUCUGCUUUUCACGAGGAUGCAGAUAAAAAAGGGAUGAUCCCUUUAAGAGUUUGAUAGGUUAAGUCACGAAAUUCAUAUCUCACACACCAGGCAAAAAAAUAUGCCAGCAACUGCUGGGAAAAUGACAACUGCAGUGUCUGAUCGCUUGUCAAA